UAAUCUUGUGAAGACAAAGCUGAUAAAUACUUAAAACUUCAAAAUGGAUAAACGGGCCAAAAGAGCUGCAAAUACAAAAAAUUACACCAAUAUCCCCUAUCAAAUGCCAUUCAAAAGGCUCAAAAAGUUUCUAACAUUAUCGGGAGCAGAUUUUCAAUUUUUAUUUUGUGCUCUCCUUUUCUCUCUUUUAGGGUUCCAACAGCAGCGACGACCUUCAUCCACCUCCUCCGCCUCUAUCGCUGUGAAAUCAUCAUCGCCAUCUGUUACUUCAAUUAAGCAGGUGAUUCAGCUUUCGCGGUUGCCAAUCAUCUAAACUCAACUACUUUUCUUUUUCCUGCAGAGUCUUGAUGCUUUGUUGAGCAAGAAGGCUAUUGCAAUUCCAGCACCGGUUUCACUGCUCUUAGGAGGCGAGCUUGAUUUCUCCAGAACAAUUAUAUCACAUUCUGCUAUCAUGAGGUGCGCAUGAAAUUCCAAUUUUGAUUUUGACAAUGUUGCUUCAGCUGUUAAUAUAGCAUACGAGAAAGGAGCUACUCAUGUAGCUAUAACUUGUAACAGAGAACUAGUGAAGCUUCCGGAACUUUACAAGAGAAUGAGUUCUUACUUCUUUUUGACUAUCCAUGGUAGUUUAUGGCAUUUCCCAUUCUAUAUGAGUUGCUUUCUCAUUAUAAAUACAGGAGUUAAUUGUACCAAGUUUUACCUUCAUAAACUUUAAGCAAUAUAUGAAUAAUUUAGUCUCCCUUGUUUGAGAUACAAGAUAUAGAGCUUAACAUCCAAGUCCAAAUGACCAAAUAUUCCAUUAUCUCGAGGGGUGGUAAAUUGCAUAUGCAAUUAAUUGGGCAUGCAGUGGAUAAUGGUGGGCAUCGUGAAAAUGGAAGACUCAAAGUUUAGGUUUUCAAUUAUUUGAUUAUAUAUAAUGGGCAUGCAAUGGAUAAACAUAGCCUGAUUGCUUAUCCAACCAUCACUCUUGGCAGCUUUGAUGCAUUCACUCCAGUUAAUUUUAUUUGUAAAGCUUUAAGUAUGGGACUAACAUUGUAAUUAUUUAUGCAGGUAAAGUUUGAUGAAAAUGUACUAAUACAUUGUCUUUUGAUGAAUUUCUCUUAACCAUUUGUUUAUGUGCUUGGAUGGAAGAAGUAGAAGCGCAGUGUGCAUUACUAAACUCCGGAUCAUUAUGUCAAAUUCAGUUCUAAUAACUGAACAAGAACAAAGGCAAACAAAGUGAAAAUUCGGAUUCUGAAACGUUAAAAUUCGGUUCUGAAAGCGCUAUUUUGAGUGACAUCUCCUCUAGUCAAGAUUUCAGGAAGAUAUUUGUGGAAAAUGAUUCCGUAGCAGAAGAGACGCUCAAUGUUUAGUAGUAUAAUCGUUAUUUUUUAAGAAUAUUUUGGUGAAUAUUUUCUUUUUGUGAUGUAAUGGAUGGAUGGAAUAUCUUUAGACUUUGAAUUUUAUGAAUAUUUUUCCAUUUUCAA